rnacentral:rRNA from 1 species
ACGGCUCAGUAACACGUCGGUAACCUGCCCUAAGGUCAGGGAUAACCUCGCGAAAGUGAGGGUAACACUUGAUAGGGAAAUUCGUCUGGAAUGAUUUUUCCCAGAAAUUCGUGCCUUAGGAUGGGCCGGCGGCAGAUUAGGCUGUUGGCGGUGUAAUGGACCACCAAACCGAAGAUCUGUACGGGCCAUGAGAGUGGGAGCCCGGAGAGGGACACUGAGAAACUGGUCCCAGCCCUACGGGGUGCAGCAGGCGCGAAACCUUUUCAAUGCACGCAAGUGUGAGAAGGGAAUUCCAAGUGCUCAAGUUUUACUUGGGCUUUUGCUAAGUGUAAAAAGCUUAGCGAAUAAGGGGUGGGUAAGACUGGUGCCAGCCGCCGCGGUAACACCAGCGCCUCGAGUGGGGAUCGCGAUUAUUGGGUCUAAAGCGUCCGUAGCAGGCCUUGUAAAUGCUUUGUGAAAUUGUCUGGCCUAACCAGACAGCGUGCAGAGUAAACUGCAGGGCUCGAGACCGGGAGAGGUUAGCAGUAUUCCUAGGGUACCGGUAAAAUGGGUUAAUCCUAGGAGGACUACCAAUGGCGAAGGCAGCUGACCAGAACGGUUCUGACUGUGAGGGACGAAAGCUAGGGGAGCAAAACGGAUUAGAUACCCGAGUAGUCCUAGCCGUAAACGCUGUGAGCAAGGUAUUGCGCUUCCUACGAGGACGCGCAGUGUCGAAACGAAGGUGAUAAGCUCACCACCAGGGAAGUACGGUCGCAAGGCUGAAACUUUAAGGAAUUGGCGGGGGAGCAC